GGUAGAGCUGAGCACUCUAAUGGGACUGCCCGUGACAAGCGGGAGGAAGGUGGGGGAUGACGUCAAAUCAUCAUGCCCUUUAUGAUCUGGGCUACACACGUGCUACAAUGGAUGGUACAGAGAGCAGCGAGGCCGCGAGGUGGAGCGAAUCUCAAAAAGCCAUUCUCAGUUCGGAUUGCAGUCUGCAACUCGACUGCAUGAAGUCGGAAUCGCUAGUAAUCGCGAAUCAGCACGUCGCGGUGAAUGCGUUCCCGGGCCUU
rnacentral:rRNA from 1 species